rnacentral:pre_miRNA from 1 species
AACAAAUCACAGUGACUGCAGAGUCGGAGAUGUGGACAGAACUCCAGUGUCUGUGAUUUCGUUCU